ACCCGCUGAACUUAAGCAUAUCAAUAAGCGGAGGAAAAGAAACCAACAGGGAUUGCCUUAGUAACGGCGAGUGAAGCGGCAAAAGCUCAAAUUUGAAAUCGGCCACCAGGUCGAGUUGUAAUUUGUAGAUUGUAUCUUGAGAGCGGAUUAAAGUCUGUUGGAACACAGCGCCUUAGAGGGUGACAGCCCCGUAAAAUCUAUUCUCAUUGUAAGAUACUUUCGAAGAGUCGAGUUGUUUGGGAAUGCAGCUCUAAGUGGGAGGUAAAUUCCUUCUAAAGCUAAAUAUUGACGAGAGACCGAUAGCGAACAAGUACUGUGAAGGAAAGAUGAAAAGCACUUUGAAAAGAGAGUGAAAAAGUACGUGAAAUUGUUAAAAGGGAAGGGUAUUGAAUCAGACUUGGUGCUGUUGUUCAACUGUGUUUCGGCAUAGUGUACUCAGCAGUACUAGGCCAAGGUGGGGUGUUUGGGAGUGAAAAAGAAGUUGGAACGUAACUCUUCGGAGUGUUAUAGCCUACUUUCAUAGCUCCUCAGGCGCCUCAGGACUGCGCUUCGGCAAGGACCUUGGCAUAAUGAUUCUAUACCGCCCGUCUUGAAACACGGACCAAGGAG
rnacentral:rRNA from 1 species